rnacentral:lncRNA from 1 species
GAUUAACACUAUUUAGCAUGCCAGGCUGGGUUGUAACACAGUAGCCAUAUAUUUAUUUUAUUUCAUUUUGAUUUUAGACCUGCAGUGUAUUGCCAGACCCCAGGUCAACACAGCCACCACAACCCGAGCUGCCAUUUUCAUUUCCUGCCAUGGAUAUCUGACAGUCCUUCAUACUGAAGAAAAGGUGAAGUAAGGAAGAUGGUUGAAUAAGUACCAAACCCUCCUCUGAAAGGGACACCAACUCAACAAUAUGCAAAACAUUCUCCUUUGUGAGAAACCCAGAGACCAGCCAAGAGACUCCUAUAGCCCAAAGGAGAUGUGGGGAUUCCUCACCAUCAGCAAAGAAGUGAUCAAUUCUGCAGAAACACCAGCUGGGCUAACUCAAUUCAAUUCAAUUCAAUUCUCACACUCUACCUCGAUGUAGCAACUGAGCUACAUCUAACUCUAUUCAAUUCUCACACUCUACCUUGAUGUAGCAACUGAGCCACAGGUUGAAGGUUCAGUUUCACGAGAUUGCCUCCCACUGGCCACCGGUGAUCAUUUUAACCUUCAGCCCCAACUCAUCCCUAGAGCCUUGGUCUAUCUGGCAACCAAAUGUCAUCAUCUAUGGGGGCCAACAGCUGUCAGCCAACUUAUUAGCAUAUUAGAAGACUUUGGAGAUUCUAAGGAUUCAAUUCAAUUCUCUAACUCAAUUCAGUUCUCACACUCUACCUCGUAGCAAAUGAGCCACAGGUUGAAGGCUCAGUUUCAUGAGAUUGCCUCCCAUUGGCCACCAGUGAUCAUUUUAACCUUCAGCCCCAACUCAUCCCUAGAGCCUUGGUCUAUCUGGCAACCAACUGUCAUCAUCUGUGGGGGCUAACAGCUAUCAGCCAACUCAUUAGCAUAUGAAAAGACUUUGGAGAUUCUAAGGAUUUUAGGAGUUGUAUUCCAGGAAAUGGGGUCAAAGACCAAAUGUAUAUU